rnacentral:rRNA from 1 species
GAGUUUGAUCCUGGCUCAGAACGAACGCUGGCGGCAGGCCUAACACAUGCAAGUCGAGCGGGCGCGAGCGAUCGCGUCAGCGGCGCACGGGUGAGUAACGCGUGGGAACCUGCCCUUUGGUUCGGAACAACCCUGGGAAACUAGGGCUGAUACCGGAUGAGCCCCGCAAGGGGGAAAGAUUUAUCGCCGAAGGAGGGGCCCGCGUCCGAUUAGCUAGUUGGUGGGGUAAAGGCCCACCAAGGCCUCGAUCGGUAGCCGGUCUGAGAGGACGAUCGGCCACACUGGGACUGAGACACGGCCCAGACUCCUACGGGAGGCAGCAGUGGGGAAUAUUGGACAAUGGGCGCAAGCCUGAUCCAGCCAUGCCGCGUGGGUGAUGAAGGCCUUCGGGUUGUAAAGCCCUUUUGGCGGGGGCGAUGAUGACGGUACCCGCAGAAUAAGCCCCGGCUAACUUCGUGCCAGCAGCCGCGGUAAGACGAAGGGGGCAAGCGUUGUUCGGAAUUACUGGGCGUAAAGGGCGCGUAGGCGGCCAUUUAAGUCAGCCGUGAAAGGCCUGGGCUCAACCUGGGAAUGGCGGUUGGGACUGGAUGGCUAGAGAGCGGGAGAGGAUGGUGGAAUUCCCAGUGUAGAGGUGAAAUUCGUAGAUAUUGGGAAGAACACCGGUGGCGAAAGCGGCCAUCUGGACCGUAUCUGACGCUGAGGCGCGAAAGCGUGGGGAGCAAACAGGAUUAGAUACCCUGGU